GACAAUGGUAAAUAAAAGAUAAAAAUGAGAAAAGGAGCCCGAUCCUGUCUGAUCUCGGAAGCUAAGCAAGAUCGGGCCUGGUUAGUGCUUUGAUGGAAGACCAUCUAGGAAGACCAGGUGCUGUAGGCA
rnacentral:rRNA from 1 species